AUUGAACGCUGGCGGCAUGCCUUACACAUGCAAGUCGAACGGCAGCACGGGAGCAAUCCUGGUGGCGAGUGGCGAACGGGUGAGUAAUAUAUCGGAACGUGCCCAGUCGUGGGGAUAACGUAGCGAAAGUUACGCUAAUACCGCAUACGAUCUAAGGAUGAAAGCGGGGGACUCGCAAGAGCCUCGCGCGAUUGGAGCGGCCGAUAUCAGAUUAGGUAGUUGGUGAGGUAAAGGCUCACCAAGCCGACGAUCUGUAGCUGGUCUGAGAGGACGACCAGCCACACUGGGACUGAGACACGGCCCAGACUCCUACGGGAGGCAGCAGUGGGGAAUUUUGGGACAAUGGGCGCAAGCCUGAUCCAGCCAUGCCGCGUGCAGGAAGACGGUCCUAUGGAUUGUAAACUGCUUUUAUACUAGGAAGAAACACUCCCUCGUGAGGGAACUUGACGGUACUGUAUGAAUAAGCAUCGGCUAACUCCG
rnacentral:rRNA from 1 species